rnacentral:rRNA from 1 species
CUUGGUUGAUCCUACCGGUAGUCAUAUGCUUGCCUCAAAGAUUAAGCCAGGUAUGUGUAAGUAUGAACUAAUUCAGACUGUGAAAUUACGAAUGGCUCUUUAAAUCAGUUAUAGUUUAUUUGAUGGUAUCUACUACUCGGAUAACUAUAGUAAUCUAAAGCUAAUACGUGCGACAAACCCUGACUUCUAGAAGAGAUGCAUUUAUUAGAUAAAAGGUCGAUGCGGGCUUUGCCUAUUGCUCUGAUAAUUCAUGAUAACUCAACAAAUCACACGACCUUUGUGUUGAUAAUGCAUCAUUCAAAUUUUGACCCUAUCAACUUUCAAUGGUAGGAUAGUGGCCUACUAUGGUGGUGAUGGGUGAUGGAGAAUUAGGGUUCAAUUUCGAAGAGAGAGCCUGAGAAAUGGCUACCACAUCCAAGGAAAGCAGCAAGAGCGUAAAUUACCCAAUCCUAACAUGAAAAGGUAGUGAUAAUAAAUAACAACAUCAGGCUCUAUAAGUUUGGUAAUUGGGAUAAGUACAAUCUAAAUUCUUUAACAAAGAUCCAUUGAAGGGUAAGUCUGGUGCCAAUAGCUACAAUAAUUCCAGCUCCAAUAAUGUAUAUUUAAGUUGUUGCAGUUAAAAAGCUUGUAGUUAGAACUAGGGUUGAGUCGUCUGGUCCACCUUAUGGUGAGCACUGAUCAAUUCAUCCUUACUAUCAGUGAUAUGCUCAUGGCCUUAAUUAGUUGGGUCAUUCCUCUGGCAUUGUUACUUUGAAAAAAUCAAAGUGCUCAAAGCAAGCCUACGCUUGUAUACAUUAGCAUGGGAUAACAUCAUAAGAUUUCAGUCCUAUUGUGUUGGCCUUCGAGAUCGAAAUAAUGAUUAACAGGGAUAGUCGAAAGCAUUCAUAUUUCAUAGCCAAAGGUGAAAUUCUUGGGUUUAUGAAAGACGAAUAACUACAAAAGCAUUUACCAAAGAUGUUUUCAUUAAUCAAGAAUGAAAGUUGAGGGCUUGAAGAUGAUCAGAUACUGUCCUAGUCUCAAUAAAAAAUGAUGCUAACCAGGGAUCAACGGAUGUUACUUUUAAGACUCCGUCGACAUCUUAUGAGAAAUCAAAGUCUUUUAGGUUAUGGGGGGAGUAUGGUAGUAAGGCUAAAGCUUAAAGUAAUUGAUGGAAGGGCACCACUAAGAGUAGAGCCUGCGACUUAAUUUGACUCAACACGAGGAAACUCAUGAGGUCCAGACAUAGUAAGGAUUGAUAGACUUAGAGCUCUUUCUUGAUUCUAUGGGUGGUGGUGCAUAGUCAUUCUUAGUUCGUGGAAUGAUUUGUCUAGUUAAUUCUAUUAAUGAACGAAACCUCAGCCUAUUAACUAGCUAUGCGAAGGUGAUCCUUUAUGGCUAGCUUCUUAGAGGGACUAUGGCCGCUUAUGCCAAGGAAGUUUAAGGUAAUAAUAGGUCUGUGAUGCCCUUAGAUAUUCUGGGCUGCACGCGCGCUACACUGAUAUAUUCAAUGAGUCUAUAGCCUUAGUCGACAGGCUCUGGUAAUUUUUGAAAUUUCAUCAUGAUGGGGAUAGAUCAUUGCAAUUGUUGGUCUUCAACAAGGAAUUCCUAGUAAGCACGAGUCAUUUGCUCAUGUUGACUACAUCCCUACCCUUUGUACACAACACCUAUCACUCUUACCGAUUGAAUGGUCCAGUGAAGUGUUUGGAUCAUGGUGAUGUGAAAGGUUUGCUGCCUGUGACAUCUCGAGAAGUCCACUAAGCCUUAUCAUUUAAAGAAAGGAAAAGUUGUAACAACGUUUGCAUUGGUGAACCUGCGAAAG